CAGGGGUUAAGCUGUAGAGAGCACUCCAAAGAUCAUUAUUCGGGUCCUCAUUGAGCACACCUGCUGGCAUUAAACUAAUCACUGGCGUAAUGAUAGGUUCAAUUGAACCUCCAAACUCACCUCGAAUCACUCAGGAAAUAGACUCCAUUCUGAUGUUUUCUACCGCCAAACAAGGGAGACAAAAGCUGCGGCUCUUAAUUCGCAGGAACAGUGAGCCACAGACGGCUAAUCACGUCCGGAACCAAAGGCACCUGCCCUAUCUGCCUCUACAUUUGAAACCUGGCAACAUGCUGAAGAACCAGCAGUAAAUGUGCUCGGUUGCCCAUUGAGUGCCUCGGACAGUGAAUGAUGACUGAUGUGACUACCAGGAUUUUUCCUCCCUCUCUGUUAUACUCAAAAAGUGCUUGGCUUCUUGUAUUCUGUCUCAGGCAAAAUAUAAUAUUUGUAAAAUAGCAAGCUAUGUAACAAAAAGACAAAUACAGAGUUUUGCAAAGAUGUGUUAAUAAACUGAGGCUCAGUAGGAU
rnacentral:lncRNA from 1 species